AUUGAACGCUGGCGGCAUGCCUUACACAUGCAAGUCGAACGGCAGCACGGGUGCUUGCACCUGGUGGCGAGUGGCGAACGGGUGAGUAAUACAUCGGCACGUACCUUAUCGUGGGGGAUAACGCAGCGAAAGUUGCGCUAAUACCGCAUACGCCCUGAGGGGGAAAGCGGGGGACCGUAAGGCCUCGCGCGAUUAGAGCGGCCGAUGUCUGAUUAGCUUGUUGGUGAGGUAAAGCUCACCAAGGCGAUGAUCAGUAGCUGGUCUGAGAGGACGAUCAGCCACACUGGGACUGAGACACGGCCCAGACUCCUACGGGAGGCAGCAGUGGGGAAUUUCGGACAAUGGGGGCAACCCUGAUCCAGCAAUGCCGCGUGAGUGAAGAAGGCCUUCGGGUUGUAAAGCUCUUUUGUCAGGGAAGAAACAGCAGCUCUAACACAGUCUGCGAAUGACGGUACCUGAAGAAUAAGCACCGGCUAACUACGUGCCAGCCGCCGCCGUAA
rnacentral:rRNA from 1 species